rnacentral:rRNA from 1 species
AUUGAACGCUGGCGGCAGGCCUAACACAUGCAAGUCGAACGAGUGGCGGACGGGUGAGUAAUGUCUGGGACACUGCCUGCUGGAGGGGGAUAACUACUGGAAACGGUAGCUAAUACCGCAUACCAUCAGAUGUGCCCAGAUGGGAUUAGCUAGUUGGUGGGGUAACGGCGCACCUAGGCGACGAUCCCUAGCUGGUAUGAGAGGCUGACCAGACACACUGGAACUGAGACACGGUCCAGACUCCUACGGGAGGCAGCAGUGGGGAAUAUUGCACAAUGGGCGCAAGCCUGAUGCAGCCAUGCCGCGUGUAUGAAGAAGGCCUUCGGGUUGUAAAGUACUUUCAGCGGGGAGGCGUUACCCGCAGAAGAAGCACCGGCUAACUCCGUGCCAGCAGCCGCGGUAAUUC